UACGGAGGGUGCGAGCGUUGUCCGGAAUCACUGGGCGUAAAGGCGCGUAGGCGGCCGUGUAAGUCACUUGUGAAAUCCCGGGGCUCAACUCCGGGGCUGCAGGUGAGACUGCAUGGCUAGAGCUCGGUAGAGGCAAGUGGAAUUCCCGGUGUAGCGGUGAAAUGCGUAGAGAUCGGGAGGAACACCAGAGGCGAAGGCGGCGACCUGGACAAGUA
rnacentral:rRNA from 1 species